AACGUAGGUGACAAGCGUUGUCCGGAUUUACUGGGCGUAAAGAGCGCGCAGGCGGUCGAUCAAGUCGAGUGUGAAAGCCCCCGGCUCAACUGGGGAGGGUCAUUCGAUACUGAUCGACUCGAAGGCAGGAGAGGGUAGUGGAAUUCCCGGUGUAGUGGUGAAAUGCGUAGAUAUCGGGAGGAACACCAGUGGCGAAGGCGACUACCUGGCCUGUUCUUGACGCUGAGGCGCGAAAGCUAGGGGAGCAAACGGG
rnacentral:rRNA from 1 species